UUCCCUCUGAGUGGGAUGAAUACAGAAACAUAUGUCAUAUACUAAGUAUAGGUCGGAAGACAUGACCAGCCGGAUAUACGUCGGAAGUAUUGGAGGAUUCAAGCCUGAAAAUGGUACAUAUGAAUCAUUAGUAAAAGAUGCAGAAAUGGACGUAACAAAAGUGUUAUAAAAAUAACACGCUAAAAGAUACAAAAAUGUUAUCGUCAACAAUGUGAUGCUGCCUAUCACCUGUUUGGUCUUCCACAUACAAUCUUUGACUAAUUUAGAAUACAAGUAGACCAAAC
rnacentral:lncRNA from 1 species